UCGACCUGAAACAUCCAUAACUCGUUAGUAUAAGCUCACAAAUUAUUGACUCAUUAUUGAAAUUUGUUUGUAGCAUUUGUAGAGAGCAGUGGUGUAAUUAGGACUUGGCUUUUUGGGCGAGAAAUGUAUCCGACAGAAGAAUACACCAAUGGACGGAGAAGGUUAUGGAUUGAAAAGUGGUUAUGGCUGUCUUCCCGAAGACAGUGAUGAUCUCACACAAGGCAGAGAUGUCGUCAGGUGAACGGAAGAACGGAUAACAGCCGCUCAGGAUACACAGCAUGAUCACACCUGCAGACCACAUGUCCACCGCUGCAACAUCCACUUGUUGGGUACUUGAGCAGGACUUCUGGAGGACGGAAGCCUGGAGUGCCUGCUCUCGGAGCGAACUGCGCCUUGCGAGUCAGACAGAUGUUGCAGAUCUGCGCCUUGCCCGUAC